AUGCUCAUCUACGCUCACCCAUAUCUUAUAAAAUAAGCUCAUUGCUGUCCUCGGUAGUACCUUCACGGUUUCCCGAAGCGUUCGGCGCCGAGGUCGCGGUCGUGGGUGCUGCGGGCGAUGGCUUAGUUAUGACUCGCGUAUUGCAUGUGACUGCAACUGGUAUUCACAAUUUAUGCGCCGUGAUUAACGUGUGUAACAGCUGCGCCAGCCGCGACCUCUGCGCUCUACGAACUUCCCUUACUCGUGGUCUCUGUCGGUUGUUAACGUAACGCAGCGAAAAGAAAUAUUCUCUAGCGUUUCAGUGUAUUUAAAACAAUGCAAUUGUCUCGCUGCGUUACGAAGCUGACCGGCGAAGGCCUUGUCAAAGCACACGUACAUCGACGGCAGAGCACUCAGUACAAGGUGCGAGACCGCGCUCGCCACUGAGCCGGUGCGCAUAUUGUUUUAGACAUAAUUGAUACCUAGUUAUGUUUGUUUCAACUGUGAUUAUUUAGUUGUACAACUCUGAUGAUUACAUAAAAGAAUGAAUAAAAAUGUAAAAAAGUUGA